GCACAAAAUUUCAACUGGCCAUCCUAAAAUUAUUCAAUUUGGUUCUGAGUGUAGGUUACUUCCCUGACAUCUGGAACCAUGGGCUUAUAACACCAAUAUUCAAAAAUGGAGAUAAAUUUGACCCAAACAAUUACCGAGGCAUCUGUGUGAACACUGUAAUCGAACCAAUUGCUCUUUAUGGCAGUGAAGUGUGGGGUCCACUCAUCAGUCAAGAAUUUGGCAAAUGGGACAAA